rnacentral:lncRNA from 1 species
UAUUUGUUUUGGUGGUUUGUAGGCAGUUGUUGUGGAAAGUAUGAUUUACAUUUAUUUUAUUUUGACUCACAUAUUUCGAUAAUUUUUAUAUUUCAAAUAUUUUCUGGUAUACAUUGAAGGAUACUUGGUGUAAGAUGUAAAGAAUACUUUGUGUAAUUUGUAAAGUAAUGAGUCUUAUGCUCAACAUGUUGUUUCUCUAUUUUUUGCAUGUUUGUAUUUUUUGUGUUCCGUCUUUUGUAAAGUUAACUAAUUAUACAUGGUUAUGAUGAUUUUUGGGUAUGGAAUGAUGGUUUCUUUUGGUGAUUUGGAUAUGUAUUGAUGAUUGUAAAUUUUGUAGACAUGUUUAGAAUUUUCUGGAUAUCUAUUUUUAAAGAAAAUUCUGCCAAAAUUUCUUGAAAUUAGUACUGACUAGCUUGAUGUUUUGGUGGUUGGAUGUGUUGAUGAUUGAGUAUGUAUUAAUUGUUGUGGUAGUAUGGUGAAUUGUGG